CACAUCUAUCGAGGAAGUUCAAAAAGUCAUUGCUCAUCACAGAGGCUACUUUAAUUUCAAGGUUUUCUUUUACCUCCAUUGAUUAUAAAAGUGAACCAUAUACUAGACCGAGCAUUUUGUUAACUAUAGUUGCAAAAAUAAAUAGCAUAGCCAGAAAAGAGAGUCAGGUGUGUCACAUUUAUUAAAAUAUUUUCAAUUCUUGGCUUUGGCCAAACUGGUGGAGCUGCACCAUGCACCCACUGAUCCCAGAGAUGGAGCUGCACCAGGAGACCCACUGAGCCCAGAGGUAGAGCUGCACCAGGAGACCCACUGAGCCCAGUGGUGGAGCUGCAUGUAACAGUUGUAGUUGCAAACACAGUUAGGAGAGGAAAAGUGUCAGAGGUGGAGCUGCAUCAGGAGACCCACUGAGCCCAGCAGUGGAGCUGCACCAGAAGACCCACUGAGCCCAGAUGUGGAGCUGCACCAGGGGACCUACUUAGCCCAGAGGUGGAGCUGUACUUAGAGCAAUUGUAGUUGCAAGCGCAGUUGAGAGAGAAAAAAAAAGGAGCAGAAGGGAGACUCACUGAGCCCAGAGGUGGAGCUGCACUCGGAGACUCACUGAGCCCAGAGGUGGAGCUGCACCAGGAGACCCACUGAGCCCAGAGGUGGAGCUGCACUAAGAGACUCACUGAGCCCAGAGGUAGAGCUGCAUGUUGAACAAUUGCAGUCAAAAGCACAGCAAUACUCGAUUAUGAAUU